rnacentral:rRNA from 1 species
AAAGUCUCUGAAGGGCCGUUGAAGACUACAACGUUGAUAGGCAGGAUGUGGAAGUGGUGUGAGCCAUUAAGCUAACCUGUACUAAUUACCCGUGAGGCUUAACCAUACAACGCCAAACGCGUUU